UGUACCCCUUCCCAAGUUGCUCUCUGCGUUUGAAACAGCUAACCUUCUUGUCCUCCACGUAUUCAGACUUCAUGGCAUUCCGAUUGACAUUGUCUCAGACCGAGGUGCUCAGUUCUCCUCCCAGGUGUGUAAAGAAUUCUGCAAAGCGGUGGGGGCAGCAGACAGUCUGUCUUACCAACCCCAAGCCAAAGGCCAGACGGAGCGGGCGAACCAAAACCUGGAAUCUGCUCUUCGCUGCGUUGCUGCAUGCAAUCCUGCCUCCUAGAGCACCUUUAUCCCAUGAGUGGAAUAUGCCCACAACUCCCUCAGCUGUGGGCAGCCGUGGCCCAAUGGUUAAGCUCAUCACCUACCACCGUGGGGGACCUAGGUUCAAGACCCCGACUGGACCAUCCAUCAACAUCCUCCGGACUCACGGCGGUGGUGUCCUUGAGCAAGACACUAAUAACCCGAAAUGCUCCAGCUGCCCCCUGCUCCAGUGUGUUCCACUAUCAUGUCUCCCCUCAGGUAUGUAUCACUUCAUGUGGUGUUACGGUUUCCAAACUCCUUUGUUUAAGGAACAAGAGCAUACGGUGGUGGUUCCCGCGAUAAGGGACUAUCUUUGAGGUGUCCAAUCCAUAUGGAAGGACGUCAGGGCUGCUCUUGCUCGUUCAGCUGAGAAGAACAAACGCAUGGCAAAUCUUCAUCACUCUCCCACGCUGGAAUACAAGUGAGGAGAAGCGGCUCAGAAAAUGGAUGGAUGGAUGUAUUCUGUUUGGCGGCACGACUGGUUAGAGAACCAGCCUCACAGUUCUGAGGACCCGGGUUCAAUCCCCAGCCCCGCCUGUGUGGAGUUUGCAUGUUCUCCCCGUGCCUGCGUGGGUUUUCUCCGGGCACUCCGGUUUCCUCCCACAUCCCAAAAACAUGCAUGCAGCUUCGCCAAGCUAAGGAGGACGCAUAUCAGAGCGGGGACAGGGCCCUGUAUAAUCGAGCUAGAAACCAGGUGACCAAAGAAAUUAACAUUGCAAAAAGAAACUAUGCAGCAAAGUUGGAAAAACAGUUUAGCGCAAACGACUCUAAAUCAGUCUAGCAUGCAUUCCAAUCGCUGACUAAUUACAAGCGACGAUCCCCCCAAGCUGAGAACAAUAGCACACUAGCCAACGACUUGAAUACCUUCUACUGCAGAUUUGAAAAGGACACUUUCACACCACACACCCACCCGGCCGCACCCGCGACCACAAUCACACCUCUGACUUCUGCGUUA